CUCUCCUGCCCUGCUCACUGUCUGACUAGCCACCCACUGUAACACCGGGUCGGUUUUGUAAACAUAUUAACUUGUUUCCGUGACUGCAAAUAUCCUGUGACUAAGAAUGCCUGAUUUCCUGGCAAUGCAGCCCAGCAGCUCUCAGCCUCAUCUGACCCAGCCCCUAUUCAAGAUGGAGACGCCCUGGUUCAGACGCCUCUGACAGAUGCUCCAAGAUGAUGUGAAGCAGAUACAAGUGCCCUUCUUGUCUCAUGGACUCAAUCAGGAGAUAUGAAGAUUGACAACUGAUUGGCAAAAGUGAAGUCACUGUGUGACCUGUCCUGAAAAGAUGGUGGCUGCAUCUAGAAACAGUGACGUGUUUGGGGAACAAUGGAGUAGAGUCAGAGACGCACCUACUAAGACAUUUUGGCUGCUGGGCACCUGAACAUGAGCAAUGUGAAGCUUCCGACCAGAAGUUUUUUGAAUUGCAUCUCUAAUGACCUAUCAGAUCAGAAGACUGGUAAACCUGGAGCCUCAUCCCAAGAGGUGAUGGUGUCUGGGUUUAUUAUGGAUCGCAGGAUGUAACUAUCAAUCUGGAGCUUUAGGGGGAAGAAGAAAGAAUAUUUUGAACCACACCAGGAGAAUUACCCUAGAGAAUAUAAGUUCACCUGCCAAAAUGGGAGGCUGGCAUCUUUUUGCUCUAUGAGAAGGCUGCUGAGCUAACAGGUCUGCCUUGGCAUAAAUGUCUAGAAGAGCAUGUGUCUCCUGGAGUAUGGGGACAUUUGUGUUUCCAUAAAUUGGCAGCUGCUUCUGGUUAGAGACUUCUAAAAGGUCUGGAAUACUGGAAUACUGGUAUAGUCCAAAAGGGGAAGAUGAAAAGGAGCCGUGGAACAUUGUACCAGGAAGAAGAUGGGACAUUACUCUCCGCAUGCCCUGGAGCUUUCGGAAGACGUAUAAGAGGAUCUUAGUUUCCAUAGCUCCACAUGAAAGAGCAAGCAGGGCUGCUGAUGUCCACUGUGGGCUCCAAGUGAGGGACUGGCCCAUGGGCAGGAGGUGAGGGAGACUUACUUGCUUUUCUCUGAGCUGGUCCACAGGAGCAGAGGAGACUGGGGUGAGCCUCACUCCAGAAUACUUGUAGAGUAUGUGACACCGGUUACCAACCUUGGCUCCACAAAAAUUACCUGUGAACCUUCUAAAAUACACAUAAGAAAUUCUUACUGAAUUGAACUGGGACGAGAUUCCACGUAUCAGGAUUCUGUAAAAGCUCCCCCAGUGACUCAAGAUGAAGUCCGGGUUGAAGACCAGUGAUAUGCAGGAAAUGUGUCCUGUGAUUUGAAACCACAUUCCAUUUGUCAAGCAAGACACUACGGCCACAUAAUGGAGAUCUACUUCCAUAUGAACCAGUGGAUUUCACUCUGCUUAAUGGAAGUGCCUUAGACUACUUCUCAAACCUCAGUCCACGUCAGAAUCACCAAAGGGCCUGAUGCAUCCCAGAUUCCAGUCCCUUCUCUCCAUCCCAGACAUUCUGCUGAGGUAGGUCAGAGGUGAGGCCUGAGAAUCUCGGUUUCUUCCAACUGCCCCACUCAUGCUGACGCUGCAGUUGGGGGAAUGCCCCCUGACAACCACUUCCUUAGAAUAUAAAGCAUCCCCUGCCUUCCACAACUAUUAAAAUGGAAUGGAUGUCUACUUUUCUAUAAUGUUCUCUGUAUUUCUCCUGGCUUAUUUCUUUAGGCAGCUUACCUUCUAAUUACUAAAUUCUUCCUCAUAUGAACCUAAAUAUCUCUCUGUAAUUUAUUUCACAUCGUUUCCUGUUUCUGAAGUUUUUAAUUAUCACACUUCUUUCUGGAUUAUCUAAUCUCUCUAGAUUUAAUGUUUUUAAGCUACCAUCACACAUUUCAAAUUUAUUUGCCUGUUAACAGCAUGUUGACACUUUGUUACUAUGAGUCAAUCUUGGUUUGACUAUUGCC
rnacentral:lncRNA from 1 species